GUCCCCUUCGUCUAGCGGUCAGGACAUCGCCCUCUCACGGCGAAAACAGGGGUUCGAUUCCCCUAGGGGAUACCA
rnacentral:tRNA from 2 species